GUAGGUGGCAAGCGUUGUCCGGAAUUAUUGGGCGUAAAGCGCGCGCAGGCGGUUCUUUAAGUCUGAUGUGAAAGCACGGCUCAACCGUGGAGGGUCAUUGGAAACUGGAGAACUUGAGUACAGAAGAGGAAAGCGGAAUUCCACGUGUAGCGGUGAAAUGCGUAGAGAUGUGGAGGAACACCAGUGGCGAAGGCGGCUUUUCUGGUCUGUAACUGACGCUGAGGCGCGAAAGCGUGGGGAGCAAACAGGGAUUAGAUACCCUGGUAGUCCACGCCGUAAACGAUGAGUGCUAAGUGUUAGGGGGUUUCCGCCCCCUUAGUGCUGCAGCUAACGCAUUAAGCACUCCGCCUGGGGAGUACGGCCGCAAGGCUG
rnacentral:rRNA from 1 species